rnacentral:hammerhead_ribozyme from 1 species
AUAUUGCUGAAGAGUCCCACAGUAGGACGAAACAGCCAUCCAAUAU